GCCUGGGUGGCUCAGUUGGUUAAGCACCUGACUUCGGGUCAGGUCAUGAUCUCACAGUUUGUGGGUUCGAGCCCUGUGUCAGGCU
rnacentral:tRNA from 1 species